rnacentral:lncRNA from 1 species
AAAUUGAUAGUAAAUAUUAUUCAUAUACUAUUAAUCAUAUUUUAGCUCAACUCUAACUCUCUCUCUCUAUACAAAUAUAUUAUAUAUUAUAUAUAUACACACAUAUAUACAUUACGAGUCCGGCUACUAUACUCUUAUCAGUAUAGACCUUUUUAUACUCAUAAAUUUUCGACCGUUAGAUCUACCUAUUUGGUCAUUUUCAUAUGCUAGAUCUUACUAUUCAUACUAUUAUCAUCCUAAUCGUACAUUCCUUCAUCUAACGGCUGAAAACUUAUGAGCACAAAGUGGUUUAUACCCAUAAAAGUUUAGUAAUCCUAGCC